rnacentral:rRNA from 1 species
GACGGGGGGUCCAAGCGUUGUUCGGAAUCAUUGGGCGUAAAGCGUGUGCAGGUGGUCUUGUAAGUUGGAUGUGAAAGCCCCGGGCUUAACCCGGGAAGUGCAUUCAAAACUGCAAGACUUGAGUAUGGAAGAGGGUCGUGGAAUUCCAGGUGUAGUGGUGAAAUACGUAGAUAUCUGGAGGAACACCGGUGGCGAAGGCGGCGACCUGGUCCUAUACUGACACUCAUACACGAAAGCGUGGGUAGCAAACAGG